rnacentral:pre_miRNA from 1 species
AAAGUACUCCCUCCGUCCCAAAAUUCUUGUCUUAGAUUUGUCUAGAUACAGAUGUAUCAAGUCACAUUUUAGUAUUAGAUACAUCCGUAUCUGGACAAAUCUAAGACAAGAAAUUUGGGACAGAGGGAGUAGUUG